CAUUUAGUGGGCGGAUGUGACUUGAAGAAACAAUUCGGCACUGAAGGAAUAACAACUGCAAUAUUGGAGUGUCGAAAUGACAAAAUGAAAACCUGGAAAACGAUGGAGAAGAACUGGUAAAGAAGUCGACUCAAAUAAAUGAUCAAGAAGGACUGUAAAGCUGUCAUCCCGUCCUGCAACCACCUAUGUGAAGACUGAUGAGCAAUGGCUAAGGGAUAGCAGCAGAAUAACACUGAAGGAGGCGGUGCCUCCUGAAGGAUCCCAAAACACUGCUCUUCAAAUGGAACACAUCCAACCUUCAGGUGACCGUGCAGGAUGUACCACUCUGGAACAUCAAGCCUCUCCCUACCUGCCAGCACAUGAAAAUAUUUCUACUUCUGACUAUCAAAGACAAUGGAAAAACAUUUUCCAGAACAGCCCUCACAGAUCCUCCUGAUGGCCUAACAACUAAACUACAUGUCGAUGCUGAGUAUGAUUCAUCUCAAUCAUUUGAGGAAGCUCUCCCUGAUAUAGGGGAUUGGAUGUACAAUGACGGACAUACGUUUUAUGAAGGAUUUGAAGAUAGUUUGAGUGAGGAGUGUGCAGAAGAGUCAAAUUUCAAGGACACAACAGACAAACCAAUACAUGACAAUGCAUCAGAAGCCAUGGCAGAGUGCCUUCUGAUCAUCAUGGGUUAUGUAAACUGUCAUAAAGUCACUGAUAAGGCCCUAAGCGAUAUGCUCAAAAUGUUCAAGUUGCUUUAUCCCGAUAGUCUGAACACAGACUGCUUAAACAGUGUGCAGAAGUUCAAAAACUUUUUUUAUCCCACUCUGCAUCAUCGCUUAUUAUAUUACAUAAAUCCUCCAGUAAUUGUUUUGGGCCAAUAGAAAGUAAACAAAUAAAAUGCCUGUUUUGUGGGACUAGUGUGUCAGAAGAAAGAUCCUCAUCCUUUUUUUAAAAGUAUGUACAGAUUGAUUUCUUGUUUACCGUAGCACAUUCAUGUGCCAAAUGGGCCCUUGUUCGUGAAUUUAAACAUGCAGGUUUUUCUUUGCUGCAAGAUAGUGUAACAUAUGAGACAUGCAGUCAUGUUAUUCCCCUAUUGGAAACUUCUGCCAGUACAGUAGUAUCCUUGGAUGACAUAUUGGGUAAAGUUGUUUUCCUUGACUUCACAUCUAUGCUUGGCAUUGUGUUUGCAGUUCAUUUCCCCAAUACACUUGAAAAGUUUUAGAUAAUUAAGAACUGAACUGGCCUAAGAAGCCACAAAUCAAUUUUUUGAUCAUUGUUAUAAAUGCUCUGAAAAUACACACUGAUGUGAUGUUGCCGUGGAUGCUGUAAAAGUCUGUAAAUAUGUACUGUAUAUGGAGUAUCAUUGUUGAUUAUGUUUUUGCAUUGUGUGUAAUAUUUCAGUGGCCAAUUUAUUAAAUUUACUUGUUUAAUAAAACCACUGUCUUUUUUUAAUGAAUACAUAGGCCUACUAUGCUACUGUAUUUUAAUAUUAGUCCUUAUAAUGGUGGUUGGAGAGCCAAAUAUCUUCUGAAGUGGUACCUUGUUAAAAGAGUUUGAGAACCACUGCUCUAGAAAGUUCACAAAUGUUAAAAGCUCUUAAAAAGUGUCUUGUGAUCAUAUCAGUAUUGUUUGGGUUCAGUUUUAAAUCUCACAAUUGUAGUCACUGAGUUACUGUACAUUGCGUGUGGAUAAGAAAUCAACAAAUUAAGUAGAAAAUUAUUUAAAUAAACCAUUUAGAUUACAGACCAUAUAUCCAUAUUGCCUGAAUUAAUUAUUUUCUCCAAAUGUUAGCGUGAGAUAAACUG